UGACAUCAAUGUUUAUCUACUUUGUUAUUAUCAAACAUACUUUGCGUCUUUUUCUUUCUCGCAAACUUAAUGUAGCAUUAUGUUGAAUUGGCUGGUACGUUGAAAUUUGGGUUGAAUUGUCUGCUACCUGGCUCAUGAAAUGAUGCAAGCUUGGCAUAGACUGCAUCCCUGCUUUUUUGAUGCUGCAGGUUUUGAUGCAAGUUUGGAAAAGGUGGAUGAAGCAACCAACAAAUUCGACGAGCGUGCUCCUCCUCUUCUCUCCUCCAUUCUUCCUCUUCUUCACAGGUUUCCAACUCUCUCCUUUCCUCUUUAUGCUUCAGCUCUCUACAUUUCAUAUCUUUCUCCUCAAAUUUCUUAUGUAUCUCCAUCUGAACCUAAUUAUCUUUCCAUCAAAACCGUGAGAUUGCGUUUGAGAUGGCGGAUCUGAAGUGUGAAUCGACGAUGACUUUAUGGUUCUGGAAAAGGGAACCGAAAACAAAAAUGAUGUGCAAAUCAGUUUCAGUGGUGCGGCAGUAGGACUGAGUGAGACGCGGUGGUUUCCGACGCAGAUUUUGGAGAGUUGUCAGCAUAAACCUCACACAAUUCAAUUUGGCAUCCUUGAAUAAACGCGUGUCCCGUGCGAAUGCGAACAACUUGGGUAGCUACGAAAAUGAAGGUUUUGUUGAGGUUGUUGCCUUCAUCCGAUUCUUGAGAAUCCAAAUUGAUUCCGGGAACAGUGAAGGUGGGAGGUUUAUGGAAAUAUAUGCUCCUAUUGCAAAGGAUUUCGCUUCGCAUCAAGAGAUGUAGCUUCAAGAUCAAUGACUAUGGAGAUUCGGGAAGGUCGUGGUGUAGGUGUCCCUGCUAAAUGCUAAUGCAAUGGAUUACACGUCUGGCAUGCCCUACAGUUCCUUAGACGAUUAUCCGUGUCAUAUUUCAAGCAAUCCAUACAUGAUCAGUUCAAAGUCUCACGUUCACCUGCGAUUAGAAACAUCGAGAGAAGUUCAAAGCAACACGAAUCCACAACAAAAUUUGAAGCUUCACAACUCAACAUCAUCAUCAACGCAAAAACAACAGCCUCAUGCAUCACUGCUCGGUUUGAUAAAUGAAAAGAAACAGAGAUGAAGAGGUCCUGUUGUGCUAAACAAUAUUUGAUAUCGUUUCUAUAUUUAAGGAAGCAUGGACUUCAUCUUUGGCAAUAACACUUCUCUUUAGGAGCAUUGUCUUAUUCAAUGCAAAUAUGUGGAGUUUCAGUACCGCACAGGCUACAAAAUCAUCGGAGGAAACAACCGAUUAUGUAUUCUUAAGAUGCGUUAUCACAAGUAACCAAGAAAUUUCAUAUGCAUAUCUUGGACGACCGUGGCGACCUUUUGGAAGGGUGGUUUUGGCGCACACUUACAUCAUUCCGGUAUACGACAAGUUGUUGUGGAGUAGGCACUGCUGCUGAUACAGAGGCAUUAAUAGCCUCGAAAAGCACAUUUCCUAUUGAGAAGCUCAGUCCUAAAGUAACUGUUUCAUCUCUUUGGAAAGAGAACAAACCUUGAAACACUAAGUGUCAAAGAGAAUAAACCUGUAGCUGCUGACGAUGAAGAUAUGGAUCCAACGAAUUUUGUGGAUGGAGUAUCUCUAUCCCUUGCAAGUGCUAAAGUUCACUCUGGCAUCCAGAAAACCAAAUCCAAACCAAUGUUCCCUUCAGAAAUUGUGAAGAAUUUCAAUCCAAAGAGGUCAAUCUUGGGAAUGUUGUUACAGAAGUGUCGUUUGCGCCAAAUGGAGAUAUACCAGCAAAGAGCAAUGGGAUGUUUGCGCCAAAUGGAGACAUACCGGAAAAGAGCGAUGGAAUGUUUCCGCCAAACGGAGACAUACCGGCAAAGAGCGAUGGAAUGUUUGCGCCAAGCACAGACAUACCAGCAAAGAGCGAUCGGAUGUUUGGAGACAUACCAGCAAAGAGUGUUGGGAUGAUCGAACUGCAUUAUUUUAAUGGAGAUAUGGUCUCUGACAAUUGAUUAUAUUGUGAGUUUUUUGUUUUUUUUACUGAAGAGAGGGGUUUUGAGACUACAAUUAUAUUAAUUAUUAUAAAUUAAAGAUUUAUAAUAGAGGAAAGAUCCAGUCAGGAGCAUACAUUCAUUAGGACUGUUAGGACAUUAGGUUACAUCUCAGGAAAAUAGAAUAUAGGCUAUGAUAUGAACCAAAAGCAAGUUGAUAAUUUAUAACUGAUAUGGUGUUUCAGACCAUUUAUUUA